rnacentral:misc_RNA from 1 species
GUGAAUCAUCAAAUUUUUGAACGCAAAUUGCACUCUCCGGUUUUCCGGGAGAGUAUGCCUGUUUGAGGGUCUGUUUAAAAAAUAAUCUAUGCUUCUGCUUUGGUGUCUCUUCGUAAUUGGUUCAUCUUUCACCUUUCGGUUAUAAGCGACCUAAAAUUUUUUUUACGAUUUCUACUAACGUGUCUAAUAAUAUCUUGUAACUUCACGACAUCUAAAUCAUAUUAGGGUUUACCGCCGC